UACGAAGGGUGCAAACGUUGCUCGGAAUUAUUGGGCGUAAAGCGCACGUAGGCGGCUUUGUAAGUUAGAGGUGAAAGCCCGGGGCUCAACUCCGGAAUUGCCUUUAAGACUGCAUCGCUUGAACAUCGGAGAGGUGAGUGGAAUUCCGAGUGUAGAGGUGAAAUUCGUAGAUAUUCGGAAGAACACCAGUGGCGAAGGCGACUCACUGGACGAUUGUUGACGCUGAGGUGCGAAAGCGUGGGGAGCAAACAGG
rnacentral:rRNA from 1 species